UUAUUCAACACCGAAGAGAUAACUUGGGCAUCCCAUUGUAACCAAAGAACCUGAGCGGUGAGGAUCUGUACCCAGGAUACUUAUCAGACUGAUGAACAAUCUAAAGAGGACUAAAGAUGAACAAACUAAAGAGGAAAUGCAUGCACAGUGCAACGUCACCCAGACAUCAGUGGAAACAGCAUGUACCACACCUUCACCACAGAGCAGGAAACGUUCCAGCCACUCUACCUUCUGAUGACUUGUGACUUCGUCCCUGCUUCUGCCCAGCUCCUCGGCAAGUUUCACGUUCUCCUCUUGCAAAGCUGCAAGCUGCUGGGACUUCUGAGCAGCUGCCAGCUUCAGCGCUUCGCUGCGAGGACAGAGAGUGCAUUGUUACCAUAGGAACGAGGGAGGCAAGAAAAAACUGUGGGAGAGAAUCAGCUUCACAGCUUGGAAAAAUACAUCUAGGUCACGUGUCUGCUGGGACUGAUAAUAAAGGUGACGAGCCGUACCUUGCUGCACACGGAUAGGUUUAACCCUGAAAAGAGGCAGCAGCACAAACCGACCGCUUCCUUCUCCUUUAAAUGCAUCAGACACUCAAGGAAAUGCAGGGAAAAUUCAGUCUGCUCGUUCUGCACAUUUCCAGUGGUUGUCAAGCACUUGGAUUUGGGAACAUCCCUCACAGGGGCUGCUGGUGAGCUGCACAGCCCAGACAUGCUCAGAAACGAACGCGGCUGAGCGCUCUGCAGUUAAAGCGUGAGAACUGUUUUUAAAAUCGAAAGCAGCUCAGGGUCUGUCAGCACUCCCUGCAGGUCUGCCACCCAAACUACCGACUGUGUGUGAGGUGUGCGGUCAGCUGCUCCGUUCUUGUUAUUCUGCAGGUACGAAACCAAACAACAAAGCAAAAGCUGAAGCGUAUUUGCA
rnacentral:lncRNA from 1 species